rnacentral:rRNA from 1 species
GAUGAACGCUGGCGGCGUGCCUAAUACAUGCAAGUCGAGCGAACAGACGAGGAGCUUGCUCCUCUGACGUUAGCGGCGGACGGGUGAGUAACACGUGGAUAACCUACCUAUAAGACUGGGAUAACUUCGGGAAGCCGGAGCUAAUACCGGAUAAUAUAUUGAACCGCAUGGUUCAAUAGUGAAAUACGGUUUUGCUGUCACUUAUAGAUGGAUCCGCGCCGCAUUAGCUAGUUGGUAAGGUAACGGCUUACCAAGGCGACGAUGCGUAGCCGACCUGAGAGGGUGAUCGGCCACACUGGAACUGAGACACGGUCCAGACUCCUACGGGAGGCAGCAGUAGGGAAUCUUCCGCAAAGGGCGAAAGCCUGACGGAGCAACGCCGCGUGAGUGAUGAAGGUCUUCGGAUCGUAAAACUCUGUUAUUAGGGAAGAACAAAUGUGUAAGUAACUAUGCACGUCUUGACGGUACCUAAUCAGAAAGCCACGGCUAACUACGUG